rnacentral:misc_RNA from 1 species
UUCCUCUACCAGUAUAUCUUCAAGAGAAGGCUCUAUAUCAACAGAAUCACUACUUCCGGCAAAGGCCCCACCAGAACAACUUGGGCUUCCUUCCACUAGAUUUGAUCACAAAACUCAGGCCCACCUUGCUACUAGACUAAAGCAGUUAAUGGAAAAUGUUUCAAGGAAGAUCAACCUGAAGAGGUUAUUGGCCCCUUCUACCACUGGAGCGAUUGCAGGUUUUAUAGUUGGACUUGUACCUCAGAUGAGGAAGUUGAUGAUUGGUGAUGUAGCUCCUUUACGCGUAAUUGAAAAUUCAGCUAUUUUACUAGGGGAUGGAGCCAUACCACUUCUAACACUGAUCAUGGGCGGUAACCUUUUGAAGGGUUUGACCGGUUCAGGGAUUCAGAAAUCCCUACUUCUUGGCAUUAUUGUUGUCAGAUACAUUGCCCUGCCUCUUAUUGGUAUCGUUGUAGUCAAAGGAGCUAUUCGCUUGGGCUUGGUGCAACAUGAUCCAUUAUAUCAAUUUGUGCUUUUACUUCAAUUUGCACUUCCACCAGCAAUGAACAUUGGCACCAUAACACAGUUAUUUGGAGCUGGUGAGAGUGAGUGUUCAGUGAUUAUGUUUUGGGCUUAUGCAUUGGCUUCAAUAUCGCUUACUCUGUGGACAACAUUCUUCAUGUGGCUUGUAUCUAACUUCAUUUUUUUUUAAUAUCAGACAUAAACAAGUUGACAUGUCUACCAGUGUACUAUGAUAACG